rnacentral:rRNA from 1 species
AGUGAACGCUGGCGGUAGGCCUAACACAUGCAAGUCGAACGGCAGCACAGUAAGAGCUUGCUCUUACGGGUGGCGAGUGGCGGACGGGUGAGGAAUACAUCGGAAUCUACUUUUUCGUGGGGGAUAAGGUAGGGAAACUUACCCUAUUACCCCUAACGCCUUACGGGUGAAACCAGGGGAUCUUGGGACUUUGCCCAAUUGAUUGAGCGAUGGCCGAUUAGCUAGGUUGGGGGGGUAAGGGCCCCCCAGGCGAACGACCGUAAGUGGGCUGAGGGGAAGAUCAGGCCAACUUGAAAUGGGACACGGUCCAGACUCCUACGGGAGGCAGCAGUGGGGAAUAUUGGACAAUGGGCGCAAGCCUGAUCCAGCCAUACCGCGUGGGUGAAGAAGGCCUUCGGGUUGUAAAGCCCUUUUGUUGGGAAAGAAAAGCAGCAGGUUAAUACCCCGCUGUUCUGACGGUACCCAAAGAAUAAGCACCGGCUAACUUCGUG